rnacentral:tRNA from 1 species
GCCUGGGUGGCUCAGUCGGUUAAGCAUCAGAUUUCGGCUCAGGCCAUGAUCUCAGGGUUCAUGGGUUCGAGCCCCACACCAGGCU